CAAUAUUAUAAAAAUUACAAUAUUGCCAAAAUUCUUAUAUGUUUUCCAAUCAGUUUCAAUUUCCUCACUCCCCUUCUUCUUUAAGGAGCUAAAUAUAACUUUUUCCAACUUCAUUGGAUUGGUAAACGCUCUAGAAUGAGACUGUCUCUCUUAUAUCUACCUUAUGACAGAGGGCGUUUACAAUUACCAAACCUAUUAUGUUAUUUCAGCCCAGAUCAGGGUUAGGGUAGAUCAGGGCAGCUAUGUUUCACUUUACAGCCAGUCAGCCCCCAGCAUGGAUUACUAUUGUGUCCCACUGGAUCUCUAUUGCUAUAGACUUGUACAUGUACUCAUCAGGCAGGAAAAGGUUAAUUAAGCAAACAAAAUACCCAUUUCUGAAAAAUACAAUGAUGAUCUGGCAAAAAACACUUGAUUAUUUGGGAGAAAAGCAACUGCAAAUGGCUUUAUUGAUAGGUUGCUAGGUGAUCUACACGAACUUCCGACGGUAACUGACGGUUGGCUGUUUUGGACAUAGUGCAGAGACUAAGAGAGCGUACGAGUCACGGUUGAGAGGAGAUAACUAAAGAAUACUCCAAUUAAGGUCCAGACAAUCAGUUAGUUAGUGCUCGGUUGAUGAGGGAACAAGCUCUUAUGUUGUGUUCAUGUACAAAGGUUGUUGAAUAAAGAAACGUGAACCAUCAGUUAGAGAGACCAUCUUUUCAACCGGGACGCUACAGCAACAACCUUGUGAUGUUCAUCCAGGUAGAGCAGGAUUUAAACUCUGGUCUGCUAAGGAUAUAGCCAAUGUGUCUGAUCUUUUUCCAGGGAAGGCAUUUAUGUAACUGGAAGAAAUUAAAAACAAACAUGAUAUUCCUUACAAAAUAUUUCUAUAAAUAUCUUCAAGUUCAGAGUUUUAUUUUAGCCAAGCAACACAAUAAUCUUUAUCUACCAUCUUUGUCUUCAUUAGAAGACAUUAUUGUAAGUCACCUAUAUGGUAAAGGAGAGGUGUCUCUUCUUUGCUCCUUGUUUGUCGACAAAUAUUAAAAAUCUUUGACCAAUAUUUCACAAAUAUUAUUAUUUUAUUUUUUAUUUUAUUUCUUUUAUUUUAUCAUGUAAACCCCUUUGAGAUACACAUCUUAUCUUAUUUUCAAGACGGACCUGGGUAGAAGUCUGCAACACACAGCAAUCUGGUUACAAAAUAAAAUUACUUACUGCAUAUGCAGAAGUGUAAAACAGUAGAAAAGAAUUUAAAAACAGUGACACUCUUUAAUAAAAUCUCGUCUGUUUUUAAGAAUCGCUCGAAAUAAGUCCAGUGGAACCAGUUUUGACAUCUUUAUUUCAGACUGGAGCUGAUUGCAGGCCGUAGGAGCCAUCACACUAAAGCUUGCUUCCCUUUUUCAGUUCAGAAAAGUGGAACAUGCAAAAGAAAAAUAUUGUUAAAACGUAAAGAAUGGGAAUUAACAGAUCUAUGUAAAAGAAAGUUUAAGUAUGCUGGAGCCAAGCCGAGUAGAGAUUUAUAAAUCAGGAUCAUGAGGUGACUGUUUCUCAGUAUGCUUAAAGGAGGCCAUUCAGCUUUUGCAUAUAACUCACAAUGAUGCGUGAGACGUCUGCUACUGGUUACAAACCUUAAAGCACAAUGAUAAACAGCAUUUAAUAAUUAAAGGCAUUUGGUCAAAGUAUUUAUAUAUAAAACAUUGGUUAUGUUUUAUAUAUGAAUUAUUAUUAUCCCAGUUGAAUUAUUAUCCCAGCUGAUGCAUCCCUGUAAGCCACAACAUCCAAACAGAAAGGUAGGUGCUCUUUCUUAACAUUUAUAUGUUAAAUAUAAUUUCCAUGAUUAGCUACUUAUUUACAGUCAUAUGUCAGGUCAUAUGUUAAGUAUAAUUUACAUGAGUAUUGAUUGUACAUAAUUACAAAAAGGUGACUGAAAAAUAAUUAAAUUCAAAGCUUUAUUUAUGAUUUAUUUUGGAGAGAGGAAGUCUUAUUUUUCAGAAUGCUUAACAGGAUCUAGUUUUGUCUUUUGCCACUAUUUAGCCUUCUGUUGAUUUCGGUUGCUUGGUUACGAACAGCCGUUGCCGUUGUUCAGCAACUGUACUGUUCCAAAAAAAAAAAAAAAAA